rnacentral:rRNA from 1 species
AGGGCACCACCAGGAGUGGAGCCUGCGGUUUAAUUUGACUCAACACGGGAAAACUCACCCGGCCCGGACGCCGUAAGGAUUGACAGACUGAGAGCUCUUUCUUAAUUCGGGGGGGGGGGGGGCAUGGCCGUUCUUAGUUGGGGGAGCGAUUUGUCUGGUUAAUUCCGAUAACGAACGAGACUCUGGCCUAUUAAAUAGACGAUAUAUUAAAAAGUAUAUCGCACUUCUUAGAGGGACAAGCGGCGUCUAGCCGCAUGAAAUAGAGCAAUAACAGGUCUGUGAUGCCCUUAGAUGUCCGGGGCUGCACGCGCGCUACACUGAAAGAAUCAGUGGGCGUUAAACCUAGUUCGGAAGAACCGGGUAACCCAAGUAAAUUCUUUCGUGCUUGGGAUAGGGAAUUGCAAUUAUUUCCCUUAAACGAGGAAUUCCCAGUAAAUUCGGGUCAUAAGCUCGAGUUGAUUACGUCCCUGCCCUUUGUACACACCGCCCGUCGCUACUACCGAUUGGAUGACUUAGAGA